UACGUAGGCAGCGAGCGUUGUUCGGAGUUACUGGGCGUAAAGGGUGUGUAGGCGGUUGUUUAAGUUUGGUGUGAAAUCUCCCGGCUCAACCGGGAGGGUGCGCCGAAUACUGAAUGACUUGGAGUGCGGGAGAGGAAAGUGGGAUUCCUGGUGUAGCGGUGAAAUGCGUAGAUAUCAGGAGGAACACCGGUGGUGUAGACGGCUUUCUGGACCGUAACUGACGCUGAGACACGAAAGCGUGGGUAGCAAACAGG
rnacentral:rRNA from 1 species